rnacentral:lncRNA from 1 species
GUUGGCUAGGGGCUAGAAACAGAACUAAGUUGGCCAGGAGCUAGAAACAGAACUAGGUUGGCCAGUAGCUAGAAACAGAACUAGGUUGGCUAGGGGCUAGAAACAGAAUUAGGUUGGCUAGGGGCUAGAAACAGAACUAGGUUGGCUAGUUGGUCAGGAGCUAGAAACAGAACAAGGUUGGCUAGUUGGCCAGGAGCUACAAACAGAACUAGGUUGGCUAGGAGCUAGAAAAAGAGCUAUGUUGGCCAGUAGCUAGAAACAACUCUGUUAGCCAGGGGCAAGAACCAGAACUAUGUUGGCCAGGAGCUAGAAAAAGAACUAGGUUGGCUAGUUGGCCAGGAGCUAGAAACAGAACUAGGUUGGCCAGGAGCUAGAAACAGAACUAGGUUGGCCAGGAGCAAGAAACAGAACUAGGUUGGCCAGUAGCUAGAAACAGAACUAAGUUGGCUAGGGGCUAGAAACAGAAUUAGGUUGGCUAGGGGCUAGAAACAGAAUUAGGUUGGCUAGGGGCUAGAAACAGAACUAGGUUGGCUAGUUGGUCAGGAGCUAGAAACAGAACUAGGUUGGCUAGUUGGCCAGGAGCUACAAACAGAACUAGGUUGGCUAGGAGCUAGAAAAAGAGCUAUGUUGGCCAGUAGCUAGAAACAGCACUAGGUUGGCCAGGAGCUAGAAACAGAACUAGGUUGGCUAGGGGCUAGAAACAGAACUAGGUUGGCUAGGGGCUAGAAACAGAACUAGGUUGGCUAGUUGGCCAGGAGAUAGAAACAGAACUAGGUUGGCUAGGAGCUAGAAACAGAACUAGGUUGGCCAGGAACUAGAAACAGAACUAGGUUGGCCAGGAGAAAGAAACAGAACUAGGAUGGCUAGGAGCUAGAAACAGAACUAGGUUGGCCAGUAGCUAGAAACAGAACUAGGUUGGCUAGGGGCUAGAAACAUAACUUGGUUGGCUAGGGGCUAGAAACAGAACUAGGUUGGCUAGUUGGUCAGGAGCUAGAAACAGAACUAGGUUGGCAAGUUGGCCAGGAGCUAGAAACAUAACUAGGUUGGCCAGGAGCUAGAAACAGAACUAGGUUGGCCAGGAGCAAGAAACAGAACUAGGAUGGCCAGGAGCUAGAAACAGAACUAGGUUGGCCAGGAGCUAGAAACAGACCUAGGUUGGCUAGGGGCUAGAAACAGAACUAGGUUGGCUAGGGGCUAGAAACAGAACUAGGUUGGCUAGGGGCUAGAAACAGAACUAGGUUGGCUAGUUGGCCAGGAGAUAGAAACAGAACUAGGUUGGCUAGUUGGUCAGGAGCUAGAAACAGAACUAGGUUGGCUAGUUGGCCAGGAGCUACAAACAGAACUAAGUUGGCUAGGAGCUAGAAAAAGAGCUAUGUUG